UACGUAGGCAGCGAGCGUUGUUCGGAGUUACUGGGCGUAAAGGGUGUGUAGGCGGCUGUUUACGUUUGGUGUGAAAUCUCCCGGCUCAACUGGGAGGGUGCGCCGAAUACUGAAUGACUAGAGUGCGGGAGAGGAAAGUGGAAUUCCUGGUGUAGCGGUGAAAUGCGUAGAUAUCAGGAGGAACACCGGUGGUGUAGACGGCUUUCUGGACCGUAACUGACGCUGAGACACGAAAGCGUGGGUAGCAAACAGG
rnacentral:rRNA from 1 species